UACGUAGGGUGCAGGCGUUAAUCGGAAUUACUGGGCGUAAAGCGUGCGCAGGCGGUUUGUUAAGACAGAUGUGAAAUCCCCGGGCUUAACCUGGGAACUGCGUUUGUAACUGGCAAGCUAGAGUGUGGCAGAGGGGGGUAGAAUUCCAGGUGUAGCAGUGAAAUGCGUAGAUAUCUGGAGGAAUACCGAUGGCGAAGGCAGCCCCCUGGGUUAACACUGACGCUCAUGCACGAAAGCGUGGGGAGCAAACAGG
rnacentral:rRNA from 1 species